GAUCCUGGCUUAGAUUGAACGCUGGCGGCAGGCCUAACACAUGCAAGUCGAACGGUAACAGGAAGAAGCUUGCUUCUUUGCUGACGAGUGGCGGACGGGUGAGUAAUGUCUGGGAAACUGCCUGAUGGAGGGGGAUAACUACUGGAAACGGUAGCUAAUACCGCAUAACGUCGCAAGACCAAAGAGGGGGGACCUUCGGGCCGUCUUGCCAUCGGAUGUGCCCAGAUGGGAUUAGCUUGUUGGUGGGGUAACGG
rnacentral:rRNA from 1 species